GACGAACGCUGGCGGCGUGCUUAACACAUGCAAGUCGAACGGAAAGGCCCUGCUUUUGUGGGGUGCUCGAGUGGCGAACGGGUGAGUAACACGUGAGUAACCUGCCCUUGACUUUGGGAUAACUUCAGGAAACUGGGGCUAAUACCGGAUAGGAGCUCCUGCUGCAUGGUGGGGGGUGGAAAGUUUCGGCGGUUGGGGAUGGACUCGCGGCUUAUCAGCUUGUUGGUGGGGUAGUGGCUUACCAAGGCUUUGACGGGUAGCCGGCCUGAGAGGGUGACCGGCCACAUUAGGACUGAGAUACGGCCCAGACUCCUACGGGAGGCAGCAGUGGGGAAUAUUGCACAAUGGGCGGAAGCCUGAUGCAGCAACGCCGCGUGCGGGAUGACGGCCUUCGGGUUGUAAACCGCUUUCGCCUGUGACGAAGCGUGAGUGACGGUAAUGGGUAAAGAAGCACCGGCUAACUACGUG
rnacentral:rRNA from 1 species